GACGAACGCUGGCGGCGUGCUUAACACAUGCAAGUCGAACGGAAAGGCCCUGCUUUUGUGGGGUGCUCGAGUGGCGAACGGGUGAGUAACACGUGAGUAACCUGCCCUUGACUUUGGGAUAACUUCAGGAAACUGGGGCUAAUACCGGAUAGGAGCUCCUGCUGCAUGGUGGGGGUUGGAAAGUUUCGGCGGUUGGGGAUGGACUCGCGGCUUAUCAGCUUGUUGGUGGGGUAGUGGCUUACCAAGGCUUUGACGGGUAGCCGGCCUGAGAGGGUGACCGGCCACAUUGGGACUGAGAUACGGCCCAGACUCGUACGGGAGGCAGCAGUGGGGAAUAUUGCACAAUGGGCGGAAGCCUGAUGCAGCAACGCCGCGUGCGGGAUGACGGCCUUCGGGUUGUAAACCGCUUUCGACUGUGACGAAGCGUGAGUGACGGUAAUGGGUAAAGAAGCACCGGCUAACUACGUG
rnacentral:rRNA from 1 species